rnacentral:rRNA from 1 species
CAGCCAUCCCGCGUGCAGGAUGACGGCCCUACGGGUUGUAAACUGCUUUUAUGUACCAAGAAUAGGCGCUACGUGUAGCGUUAUGACGGUAGUACAUGAAUAAGCAUCGGCUAACUCCGUGCCAGCAGCCGCGGUAAUACGGAGGAUGCAAGCGUUAUCCGGAUUCAUUGGGUUUAAAGGGUGCGUAGGCGGCUAUAUAAGUCAGUGGUGAAAUGCUGCAGCUCAACUGUAGAACUGCCAUUGAAACUGUAAGCUUGAGUGCGCCUGAGGAGGCGGAAUAGUAGUGUAGCGGUGAAAUGCUUAGAUAUUACUCAGAACACCGAUUGCGAAGGCAGCUUACUAAAGCGUAACUGACGCUGAUGCACGAAAGCGUGGGGAGCGAACAGGAUUAGAUACCCUGGUAGUCCACGCCGUAAACGAUGAUAACUCGCUGUUGGCGAUACACAGUCAGCGCUAAGCGAAAGCAUUAAGUUAUCCACCUGGGGAGUACGAUCGCAAGGUUGAAACUCAA